rnacentral:piRNA from 1 species
UAUCUGCUAAACAUGUGACU